GGCUUUAAGAAACAAGCCCGGCCCAAUUAUUGGAAGUUAGCUGGAAAACGGUAGACGCCUACUGCAGUACUACGGACUUGCUCACUCGUUAGCUGUUUCAGACUUUCAGUUAUGUAGCCCGCGUGUGAACCGAACCCUUCUGACGCCAACGAUGUCGUCGUCCUCCGCCACAGACUCGGAACCGGCGUCGCCGAGUCUCAUCCCUUCCCUUCCGGACGACGUGGCCUUGAACUGCUUAGCUCGCGUUCCUCGUUCCCAACACGUAUCCCUCUCGCUUGUUUCCAAAUCUAUCCGCUCUGUCCUUUCUUCGCCUCUCUUCUUCAACACUCGCUCUCUCCUUCACUGUACGCAGCACGUUCUUUACCUCACUCUUCGCUCUCAUGACUCCUCUGGUCCUCUUCAAUGGUUCUCUCUGCAUCAAAACACCCACAAUUCUUCACGCAGGAACAUUCUCGUCCCUAUUCCACCCAUGCCCUCCACUUCGGUCGGAUCCGCGUACACCGUCCUCGGCCAUGAUAUUUACGUCAUCGGCGGUUCUGUCCACGACGUCCCUUCCCAGCACGUAUGGAUCCUCGAUUGCCGCUUUAAUAAGUGGCGGCCUGGCCCUAACAUGCGCGUCGGCCGUGAGUUCGCUGCCGCCGGUGUUGUCGACGGGAAGAUUUAUGUCAUAGGAGGUUGCGUUGCUGAUACCUGGGCUAGAUCGACGAAUUGGGCUGAAGUACUCGAUCCAGUAACUGGUAGGUGGGAUACGGUUCCGAGUCCUGUCGAGGUACGGGAGAAAUGGAUGCAUGCAAGCACUGUCGUGGACGGUAAGGUUUACGCCAUGGCCGAUCGCGGUGGGGUCGUGUAUGAUACACGGAAUAAGGUUUGGGAAAGUGCUGGGAACGAGCUCGAUUUGGGAUGGAGAGGGAGGGCAUGCGUGGUGGAUGGUGUUUUGUAUUGCUACGAUUACGUGGGGAAUAUCAAGGGAUUUGAUGUGAAGAAAGGUGUUUGGAAGGAAUUGAGAGGCCUGGGAAAGUGCUUGCCGAAGUUUUUGUGUGGGGCGACCAUGGCUGACGUUGGUGGGAAGUUGUUUGUGGCAUGGGAAGAAGGGAGUGGGAAAGAAAUACAUAUUUGGUGUGCCGAAAUUGAGGUGAAGAAAAAUGAAGCAGAUGAGUUGUGGGGUAAAAUUGUUUGGUUGGAUGAAGUUCUCUCAGCCAAGAAAGGGGCAUCAAUUGUGCAUUGUUCUGCAGUUCCGUUGUGAAUUGAUUAUCAGCUAGUGUUCGCAGUAAGGAAUAAUGAUGAGCCAAUGUACUUAGCACAGUAACGACCCGAGCAUCGUGUCAUCAUCAGUCACGAGUCACAAUGCUUUUCACACUGCUGGAUUGUGAUGUAUUUUGUCUUCAACGUGUAUGACUAACAUCAUCUUGCUGUAAUGUCCUGAAAAGAUGUCACUUGAUCUAACAAAGCUUGAAGCUUCCUUUCUGAUUUGGUCAGGUGACUCUGACAACCCCGUUCAUGGUAAAUAAUACAGGAAUUGCUGAGGCAGUACUGCAUCUUUGUUAUUUUUAUAUCUUGCUUCGUAACAAGUAGAAUCACUUUCUUCUAUUAAAAAAAAAACAAGAAGAAGAAUUGCUUGCUCGUCCUUCUUUUUCUUGAUCUUAAAUUUGUACAUAGCUGACAUUAUGUGUUGCUUAUCAGUCUGUUAAUUUGUACGAGCUCUUUUGAUGUACGUAAUUAGCAUGAAAUAAUUGCCGCGGAAUGAUUGGCAACAGUAUACAGUUCCAGUUGUCCAUUAUAAAUGAAAUUCGCCGAUGUUAAAUGAGUCAA